UGGGGUUAGAAUCAACAGCUCUCUAGUAUUCUUUGGGUCUGAAAACUGGCAGCAGCUGGUGAGACUGAAAGUCUCCUGGUAGAAUGGAAGACCUUACUGAAAUUAAAUUUUUGGACACUGGACCCAUCUAUUUUUUUGAUCAGAUAAAACCAAAAAGGAAAAUAUGGGAAAAGAGAAAAUGUGAAGACCACUUCCCCCUUUUGGAAUGCACUGAAGGAGCUAACUAUAAAAAAACGGAAGAAGCUAAGCUAAGGAAAGAAGGAUUCAACAAACAGCUUAUCCUGAGCCACUAUAACGAGGAAGAGGUGAACACCAUCCCUGAAGAUUCCCAGUGUUUCUGGCUAGAGUUGCUGAGGAGGAGGACUAAUAUGCCGACAAUCAAGAAGCCUGACCAGAAUUUGAAAAAGUUCCAUUAUGCUCUGACAGAUGGUUCCUCUCUGACCUAAUAUCCUUGUGAAACGCCAAUGGUUGAAGAAGGAUGGGAUGGGUCAGGAGUGAUAAAGGGGCAGCAGGUGGAGUGUUUCUGUUUCAGCAGAAAAUCCCAGAAGCAUUAAAAAAAGAG
ensembl:lncRNA